CAAAGGGUGUGUGAAAUUUAAUACACAUAGGUUUAAUAGCAAUGAAAGAUGAUUACGUUGGAUCACCUAUCUGACCUUAACGAGUCAUCAGUUGUGAGAAUAAUGUGUGUGGUAAAGUCCGAUCUGUGGGAUGUGGGGCCGUAGCAACUAAGGCCGGUCCAGUUCCACCUCACAGGGAAAAACACCAGAACACACACACUCAACCCAGACAGAGAGAGAGCGAGACAGAGGGAAACAGGGGGAGAGACCCGUCACAUGGAGACAACUGCAGAUGGCAGCACACGACUGUGGGCUUCGUCGCCAAAACACAACUUUCUCAACAUCUCCACGCACACGUGAACCGCGGUCGCAGCGGCGUUCAGGGCCGCAACGCGGCACGCCGCCGCGCGACGGCCGCCGCUCGCGUCUGUUCCUGCAGCUGCUGAACGCGCUGCUCCUUUAACGGCUGCUACUCCCACAGGACUCCGGGUCACCGUGACCCAGACAAAAUCCCCGGAGGCAGCCAAAGACGGCAGUCUGAACGCGAGUCUCCUGGCGGGAGCGUUGCAACAUUACGCUCGGCGCGGUGGCAGUGAGGUUUAUUAUUAUUGCCUCGGCAGCAGGCGGCCUCGGGACCGUCUGGGUACCGUGGCAGGAGAAUGAGGGCAUCGAUGACCUGGGAACGCCGCAAACCGCAGGCGACCCUUCGGCCUCCGCUCGCGUCCUCCGGCUGAGCUCUGUUGACAACUGCGCUCGUUUGGAAGCGUCUUAAUUUCUUGGAAUCCUCCGCGAAGCCCUGCCGCAGCGGUCUCAUUUACAGCGAACUGCACUCUGAGUUCCUUUUGAUCGACUGCAGGGAGCAGCGGCUCUAAUCUCCACAAUAAACAGAAAUGCCAGCAUG